GGGGCGUUACACCGAUCACCUUGUAAUUCGACUAUUAAACUAGUGAACCAACACUUUUAUCGGUUCGAUGAUCCGUCUGACUCUUAAAACUCUGGUUUAAAUAGGUUACGUUCUUUAAAAAAAAUCUAUUUUUUUAGUAGGGAUCCAUUUUUAUUAUUUGCCCUGAACUUCUAAAAAGUCGAAACAGACCCUGCUUGAAUAUAUAUAAUUAGAGGGUUUGAAUUUAGAGAAAUGUUAUCCUCAAACUUCCUGACAAACUCUUUUCAUC
rnacentral:lncRNA from 1 species